rnacentral:rRNA from 1 species
CCGGACCGGCGCACGGGUGAGUAACACGUAUGCAACCUGGCCGCCACAGGGGGAUAACCCGCGGAAACGCGGCCUAAUACCCCGUGACGCCACCGGAGGGCAUCCUCCGGUGGCCAAAGGAGCGAUCCGGUGGCGGAUGGGCAUGCGGCGCAUUAGCUAGACGGCGGGGUGACGGCCCACCGUGGCGACGAUGCGUAGGGGUUCUGAGAGGAAGGCCCCCCACACUGGGACUGAGACACGGCCCAGACUCCUACGGGAGGCAGCAG